CCUACGGGAGGCAGCAGUAGGGAAUCUUCCACAAUGGGCGAAAGCCUGAUGGAGCAACGCCGCGUGGGUGAAGAAGGUCUUCGGAGCGUAAAACCCUGUUGGUAGAGAAGAAAGUGCGUGAGAGUAACUGUUCACGUGUCGACGGUAUCGAAAAAGAAAGCCACGGCUAACGACGUGCCAGCAGCCGCGGUAAUACGUAGGUGGCAAGCGUUCUCCGGAUUGAUUGGGCGGAACGGGAACGGAGGCGGUCUUUUCAGUCUGAUGGGAACGCCUUCGGCUUAACCGGAGUAGGGCCUUGGAAACUGGCAGACUUGCUUGCAGAAGAGGCGAGUGGCCCUCCCUGUGUAGCGG
rnacentral:rRNA from 1 species